rnacentral:rRNA from 1 species
GAACGCUGGCGGCGUGCUUAACACAUGCAAGUCGAACGGGACGAUUGAAAGCUUGCUUUUGAAAGUCUAGUGGCAAACGGGUGAGUAACGCGUAGACAACCUACCUCUAAGAUGGGGACAACAAUCCGAAAGGGUUGCUAAUACCGAAUGUUGUGUCAUCACCGCAUGAUGAUGACAUUAAAGAUGGCCUCUACUUGUAAGCUAUCACUUAGAGAUGGGUCUGCGUCUGAUUAGCUAGUUGGUGAGGUAACGGCUUACCAAGGCGACGAUCAGUAGCCGGUCUGAGAGGAUGAACGGCCACAUUGGAACUGAGACACGGUCCAGACCCCUACGGGAGGGCAGCCAGUGGGGGAAUCUUCCGCAAUGGGCGAAAGCCUGACGGAGCAACGCCGCGUGAGUGAAGAAGGCCUUCGGGUCGUAAAGCUCUGUUGUUGGGGACGAACGUGCUUGUUGUGAACAAUGACGAGCAAUGACGGUACCUAACGAGGAAGCCACGGCUAACUACGUGCCAGCAGCCGCGGUAAUACGUAGGUGGCAAGCGUUGUCCGGAAUUAUUGGGCGUAAAGGGAGCGCAGGCGGGAAGGUAAGUCGGCCUUAAAAGUGCGGGGCUCAACCCCGUGAGGGGGUCGAAACUAUCUUUCUUGAGUGCAGGAGAGGAAAGCGGAAUUCCUAGUGUAGCGGUGAAAUGCGUAGAUAUUAGGAGGAACACCAGUGGCGAAGGCGGCUUUCUGGACUGUAACUGACGCUGAGGCUCGAAAGCCAGGGGAGCGAACGGGAUUAGAUACCCCGGUAGUCCUGGCCGUAGA